GGCUCAGAUUGAACGCUGGCGGCAUGCCUUACACAUGCAAGUCGAACGGCAGCGGACCUUCGGGUGCCGGCGAGUGGCGAACGGGUGAGUAAUAUAUCGGAACGUACCUUUCAGUGGGGGAUAACGUAGCGAAAGUUACGCUAAUACCGCAUAUUCUGUGAGCAGGAAAGCAGGGGAUCGCAAGACCUUGCGCUGAUUGAGCGGCCGAUAUCAGAUUAGCUAGUUGGUGAGGUAAAGGCUCACCAAGGCGACGAUCUGUAGCGGGUCUGAGAGGAUGAUCCGCCACACUGGAACUGAGACACGGUCCAGACUCCUACGGGAGGCAGCAGUGGGGAAUUUUGGACAAUGGACGCAAGCCUGAUCCAGCCAUGCCGCGUGAGUGAAGAAAGCCUUCGGGUUGUAAAGCUCUUUCGGCCGGGAAGAAAUCGCACAGGUUAAUACCCUGUGUGGAUGACGGUACCGGAAUAAGAAGCACCGGCUAACUACGUG
rnacentral:rRNA from 1 species